AGAGUUUGAUCAUGGCUCAGAUUGAACGCUGGCGGUAUGCUUAACACAUGCAAGCCGAACGGUAGCAGGCCUUCGGGCGCUGACGAGUGGCGGACGGGUGAGUAACGCGUAGGAAUCUGCCUCAUAGUGGGGGACAACGUGGGGAAACCCACGCUAAUACCGCAUACGCCCUACGGGGGAAAGCGGGGGAUCUUCGGACCUCGCGCUAUGAGAUGAGCCUGCGUUAGAUUAGCUAGUUGGUAGGGUAAAGGCCUACCAAGGCGACGAUCUAUAGCUGGUCUGAGAGGACGAUCAGCCACACUGGGACUGAGACACGGCCCAGACUCCUACGGGAGGCAGCAGUGGGAAAUAUUGGACAAUGGGCGGAAGCCUGAUCCAGCAAUACCGCGUGUGUGAAGAAGGCCUUCGGGUUGUAAAGCACCUUCAACUGGGAGGAAAACCUACCGGUCAAUACCCGGUAGCUUGACAUUACCUUUAGAAGAAGCACCGGCUAACUCCGUGCCAGCAGCCGCGGUAAUACGGAGGGUGCGAGCGUUAAUCGGAAUUACUGGGCGUAAAGCGUGCGUAGGCGGUUCGUUAAGUCAGAUGUGAAAGCCCCGGGCUCAACCUGGGAACUGCAUUUGAAACUGGCGGACUAGAGUUUAGUAGAGGGGAGUGGAAUUUCAGGUGUAGCGGUGAAAUGCGUAGAUAUCUGAAGGAACACCAGUGGCGAAGGCGACUCCCUGGACUAGAACUGACGCUGAGGUACGAAAGCGUGGGUAGCAAACAGGAUUAGAUACCCUGGUAGUCCACGCCGUAAACGAUGUCAACUAGCCGUUGGUCCUAUUUACAGGAUUAGUGGCGCAGCUAACGCAUUAAGUUGACCGCCUGGGGAGUACGGCCGCAAGGUUAAAAACUUCAAAUGAAUUGACGG
rnacentral:rRNA from 1 species